rnacentral:lncRNA from 13 species
AUGAGGGGGAAGGAGUGGACGCUACCGCUUGUCAUUGUUAAAGGAGAACAAUCAGCCUUGCUAGGCAGAAACUGGCUACAAAAGAUCAAGUUGAACUGGGGAGAAAUCUUCAGUCUGAGAAAUGACAAACCAGUGAGUCAGGCUACACUCACUAACAUGCUGGAGAAGCACAAAGAACUUUUCAAAGAUGGCUACGGUGAAAUACAAGACUUCACAGCAAAAGUCAGAGUGCAAGAAGGAACCAAGCCUAUCUUUCACAAACCACGUCCAGUUCCCUAUGCUCUUAAGGAAGCAGUAGAGAAGGAACUGGACCGCCUACAGAAGAAUAACAUAAUCACGAAAGUAGCGAGGAGCGACUGGGCCGCUCCGAUUGUUGUAGUCCCAAAGAAAGACAAGACCGUCAGAAUGUGCGGUGACUACAAGGUCACAGUAAAUCGCUGCAUACUACCAGAGGAAUAUCCACUACCACUGUCAAACGAUUUUGAAAUGUUUCUCAAGAACAACGGAGUAAGGCACAUCCUGUCACCACCUUACCAUCCGGCAUCAAACGCAGCAGCGGAGAGAGCCGUGCAAACCUUUAAGAAGGCCUGGACUAGACUCGAGGUUCAGUCUGUGCCCAUCCACCAAAGGCUUCCCCGGUUCCUGUUUAUUUACCGUAACACCCCACACAAAGUAACGGAAUGUACACCAGCUGAACUGUUUCUGAAACGCCAACCACGUACCCGCCUGACAUUGUUGAAACCAGACUUGUCAAGCACUGUGGCAAAGCACCAGCUACAGCAGAAGAAAGCUCAUGACAGACACUCAAAGACUGUCAGAGAAUUCAAAGAGGAAGAGAGGGUGAUGGUACGUGAUUUCAGACACCCCAAGCGCCUGUGGAACUCAGGUGUGAUCUUGCAACGCAGAGGACGUUUGACUUACCAAGUCCAAAUUGGUCAUCGCCAGGUCAACGUUCAUGUGGAUCAUCUGCUACGGUCCAACGCCCCAGCAGAGACAUGCCGAGAGAACAAGAACAAUAAUGACCCCCAGGACUAUUCUCCUGACUGUGGACGUACGGGAGAGACAGAGCCUGACCUUCCACCCGAACCUGGCCCACCACAGGAAGCCCAGGAGCGGAGAUAUCCCAUUCGACAGCGAAGGGCACCUCAAAAGCUUGACCUGUGA